rnacentral:rRNA from 1 species
GAUGAACGCUGGCGGCGUGCCUAAUACAUGCAAGUCGAGCGAAUGGAUUAAGAGCUUGCUCUUAUGAAGUUAGCGGCGGACGGGUGAGUAACACGUGGGUAACCUGCCCAUAAGACUGGGAUAACUCCGGGAAACCGGGGCUAAUACCAGAUAACAUUUUGAACCGCAUGGUUCGAAAUUGAAAGGCGGCUUCGGCUGUCACUUAUGGAUGGACCCGCGUCGCAUUAGCUAGUUGGUGAGUUAACGGCUCACCAAGGCAACGAUGCGUAGCCGACCUGAGAGGGUGAUCGGCCACUCUGGGAAUGAGACACGGCCCAGACUCCUACGGAAGGCAGCAGUAGGUAAUCUUCCGCAAUGGACGAAAGUCUUACGGGGCAACGCCGCGUGCGUGAUGAAGGCUUUCGGGUCGUAAAACUCUGUUGUUAGGGAAAAACAAGUGCUAGUUGAAUAAGCUGGCACCUUGACGGUACCUAAACAGAAAGCCACGGCUAACUACGUGCCAGCAGCCGCAGUAA